GUCUAAGGCCAUACCACCUUGAACACUCCUGAUCUCAUCUGAUCUCAGAAGAAAAAGAGGAAACACAUUUAACCACCAUACUUACUUUAAUCU
rnacentral:rRNA from 1 species